GAUGGCUUUCCAGGUACUCCAAUACUUCCACUGAUUUCAGUGCAUUCAUAGGAGGAUCAAAAUGCCUGCUGGUUUCAAUGAAGCCAUGAAAAAUAAUAUUAGAAACUACUGGCGGGUGGAUCCAAGAAAAUGGAGAUCAAUGGACUAGGAGUCUACUCCCAGCUAAGUGAACCACCAGGGCCUAUUCAAGAAAUAUUGCCCAUGACCAAGCGCAAGAAUCCUAGGAAGAAAGAGAAGGCAGCCUUCGCUAAGAAAAUGCUACAAUAACCCCACUGUAAGACGGAGAGCGGCAUCCUGGCCAUCAGGCUGGCAACUGGAAGUCCAGAGGAAGAGGGCAUCUCCCCUCCCUGAGAAGGGAGGAGAACAUGGAUGUCCUGGAGAGGUGAAGAGUGAAAAAGGCCAGAUUCAAAGAGGGAGGAGCUAGCAGAGCUAAGGGGUGCGUGUGUGU